rnacentral:ribozyme from 1 species
ACAUGUACAAUUUUCUGUUAUUGGUGAUGAACGUGAAAGAGGUAUAUCUGGUGGUCAAAGAAAACGUGUUAAUAUUGGUAUUGAAUUAGUUGCAUUACCAAAAGUAUU